GCAGUAGCACGGGAAUACGAAGGGUGCAAGCGUUACUCGGAAUUACUGGGCGUAAAGCGUGCGUAGGUGGUGGUUUAAGUCCGUUGUGAAAGCCCUGGGCUCAACCUGGGAAUUGCAGUGGAUACUGGGUCACUAGAGUGUGGUAGAGGAUAGUGGAAUUUCCGGUGUAGCAGUGAAAUGCGUAGAGAUCGGAAGGAACAUCUGUGGCGAAGGCGACUAUCUGGGCCAACACUGACACUGAGGCACGAAAGCGUGGGGAGCAAACAGGAUUAGAUACCCCAGUAGUCCCUGUCUCUUAUACA
rnacentral:rRNA from 1 species